CCUACGGGAGGCAGCAGUGAGGAAUAUUGGUCAAUGGACGAGAGUCUGAACCAGCAAAGUAGCGUGAAGGAUGACUGUCCUAUGGGUUGUAAACUUCUUUUAUAUGGGAAUAAAAUGUUGCUAGUGUGGGAACUUGUAUGUACCAUAUGAAAAAGGAUAGGCGAACUACGUGCCAGCAGCCGCGGUAAUACGGAGGGUCCGAGCGUUAUCCGGAUUUAUUGGGUGUAAAGGGAGCGUAGGUGGAUUGUUAAGUCAGUUGUGAAAGUUCGCGGCUCAACCGUAGAGUGGCAGUUGAAACUGGCAGUCUUGAGUGCAGAAGAGGUGGGCGGAAUUCGUGGUGUAGCGGUGAAAUGCUUAGAUAUAACGAGGAACUCCAGUUGCGAAGGCAGUUCACUGGACUGCAACUGACACUGAGGCUCGAAAGUGUGGGUAGCAAACAGGAUUAGAUACCCGUGUAGUC
rnacentral:rRNA from 1 species